rnacentral:tRNA from 1 species
GGUCGCUUAGCUCAGUUGGUUAGAGCGUGGUGCUAAUAGCAUAGCUGGCAAACGCCAAGGUCGCAGGUUCGACCCCUGCAGUGAUCA